AAUAGAUACCCUGGUAGUCCACCCCGUAAACGUUGGGAACUAGUUGUGGGUCCUUUCCACGGAUUCCGUGACACAGCUAACGCAUUAAGUUCCCCGCCUGGGGAGUACGGCCGCAAGGCUAAAACUCAAAGGAAUUGACGGGGACCCGCACAAGCGGCGGAGCAUGCGGAUUAAUUCGAUGCAACGCGAAGAACCUUACCAAGGCUUGACAUACACCAGAACACCCUGGAAAUAGGGGACUCUUUGGACACUGGUGAACAGGUGGUGCAUGGUUGUCGUCAGCUCGUGUCGUGAGAUGUUGGGUUAAGUCCCGCAACGAGCGCAACCCUCGUUCUAUGUUGCCAGCACGUAAUGGUGGGAACUCAUGGGAUACUGCCGGGGUCAACUCGGAGGAAGGUGGGGAUGACGUCAAAUCAUCAUGCCCCUUAUGUCUUGGGCUUCACGCAUGCUACAAUGGCCGGUACAAAGGGCUGCAAUACCGUGAGGUGGAGCGAAUCCCAAAAAAGCCGGUCCCAGUUCGGAUUGAGGUCUGCAACUCGACCUC
rnacentral:rRNA from 1 species